rnacentral:rRNA from 1 species
AUUGAACGCUGGCGGCAGGCUUAACACAUGCAAGUCGAGCGAGCGGCGGACGGGUGAGUAAUGUCUGGGAAACUGCCUGAUGGAGGGGGCUAACCACUGGAAACGGUAGCUAAUAACGCAUACCAUCAGAUGUGCCCAGAUGGGAUUAGCUAGUAGGUGGGGUAAUGGCUCACCUGGGCGACGAUCCCUAGCUGGUCUGAGAGGCUGACGAGCCACACUGGAACGGAGACAGGUGCCAAAUGCUAACGAGAGGCGGCAGUGGGAAAUAUGGCACAAGGGGGACAGGCCGAGUGCGGACCGGCCGCGUGUGUGAAGAAGGCCUUCGGGUUGUAAGGCACUUUCAGCGAGGAGGCGUUACUCGCAGAAGAAGCACCGGCUAACUCCGUGCCAGCAGCCGCGGUAAUUC